CAUUUGCGUCCUUCCGUUUUUGUAACAAAACCAAUUAUUAUUUCUUCUCUCUCUAAAAACACCGCCUUAUCUCCUCUCUCUCUCUCUCCUCACCCACGCAAUCGGCAAAACAAUCUUGCUUUUCCGGUUCAAUCUCAACCAUCUCCGGGGCUUCCGAUUCAGAUUUGGAAACCGUAAUUUGAAAAAAAUAAGUUUAAUUUAACAAAAAGAAUUGAAUUCGAUUAGGGUUUCGAAUCUGUCAAGACGAGUUGAGAUUUGAAGGAAAUUUCCCCUAUUAUUCGCGAUGACUAACCAUGGAGACCGAGAUUUAGACACGAACAACGAGAUCAAUGGCGGCGAUCGCAUUUCUGAUCAAUGGAGCGGUGGGGAAAUGGAGGACUCGUCGUCUUCGAACGGUGUGGAGAGCAACGGAGCUGGACCGGCGGCGAGGAGGGAGACCGGGCUCGAGGAGCGGUUGACGGGGAUACUUGUUGACGAAGGAGAUGGAGAUCUGUUGCUGCAGCAGAGCAAUCGAGAGGACCGCGUUUUGCAGUGCCUACAAGCGCUUGAUAUGCAGGUUAUGGGCGCGUGUCGCGUCGACGAGAGGUUGAAACCGUUGUUGAAGAUGAAUGUGUCGAACGACGUCGCAGAGGAUCGAUUGUUAGCUCAAUUGAGCCAGCAUUUCGAGCCGGCGGAAGUUGGAAUGCUUGCGAGGUGCUUCUGUAUACCUCUCGUAUCUAUUCGUGUGGGGAAGAUCAACAAGCAAGGGACUCUCUUGUGUCCCACUGCUGCUAGGGGCAAUUUAAAUCUAACAGUUUUGCCAACUUCAAAUUUACGCCUUUCAUUCGUUGGGGAUGAUGGUCGUAUAGAUAGACUGUGCACCUUACAUAAUAAAUCCGAAUGCUCUGCUGUAGAAGUUAAUGAGAUUCCAGCAGACAAUUCUGGCCGAUCUUUCCUUAUUAAAAUUCCAGAUGACCGGAUUUUUACUUUUGGUGCUCUGAGACAUCACGACUUUUGGGAAUUGAAUUGCUUUUGAAGAUGAAGGAUCUGCUCAAGAGGAAGCCCACCAUAGCUGAGUUAACUGGUAUCAGUGAAUCUCGCCUCGGUUGCUUUGCAACUCACCUACGUGCCUAUCUGGUGGGAUCAACAGCAGGUGGCGGUGCGUCAAGUUCUGCAGGCUCACCUUCUGAUACGUAUACCACCACAGAACCAUGUGAUACAGCUCAACACGGACACUUCUCAUCCACAUCAUCAAAAUCCCUGCGUUCCCGACAUGGUGUCAAUCAACCAAUGAAGGCAAAUUCAUCAUUUCAGGGUAGCCUGAGUCCACGGUCAAGUUCCUUCAAAGAUCUGCCCAGAACCUUGUCUUCUCUGAGGAAUAUUACCAGGGAGAAAUUAAGGAAGCGAGGCGACAUCUAUCUUUCAGCCAUUGACAACCCAACAGUUGCUUCACCAAUCACAUUCACAGUCGAUUCAUCUUGUUCAAAUCAUGCUGAAAGUGACUGGUGUCCAGAACCUAUUAGAAGUUGCUCGUUAUCAUCUUCAGGUUUCCUAGAGUCGCUAGAGAAAACCAGGAACCCUGCAUCACAAGUUCCUUACAUGGUCACCCCUCUGCUCUCUCCUUACUAUUGUUGGUGCCCUCCAGGUUCAUCGGAUUUGCAAUACUCGCCAGGACUUCCUGAACUACCCAGUUUAUCGACAGAGUCAGCAUUGCUUCCACCACUUUCAUCUUUAUUACCACCCAAUAUGCCCUCCAGCAUGUUGACAACAAAACCACCUCUUCAUUUGGCUGAUUCCCCCUUGCUUGAUUUCCCUGCAUUUCUCCCAGACCCACUGGUUAGGCUACCAAGGCCAUCUUCUCAGCAGAUCCCAACUUUCAUACCCUUGAUGUGCGACCCAAUUGUUCACAUUCCAGUUAUUGAUAUUUGCUCGUCGGGUCAAGGAUACUUGGUCAGCGCCGGUCCUGCUAUUUCAACUGCAAUAUCUCCCCUGCACUCGAAACUUGUGAACAUUCCUGAAACUGAUUCCAUGCUGGAGAAGGGUGCCAGAGAGACACUACGACGACUUCUAAUCAGUGGUUCAACCCAGAAUAGCUCACAGCUGAUGGAUGUAUUGCCUGCUAUGAUAACAACUGCACACGAGAAUCGCAACAUGCUUGUUACUGGGAGCAGGGGUCUCUAUAGUGGAACCAGGGACGUUGACGUCAUUGCAAACAGCAUUGCAGCCAUGGGUCUGGUCUCUCUGCCUGGGAUAUCCAAUAUGGCAAGUGUUUUAGAUAGUCGUAGCGGCCGUGACAAUUUUAAUGUACAGGAAGAGGGAACUAGUGGGCUGGAGGGAUCUUGUUCGGAAGAUAAGGGUACCGCCUGGUGUUCGGAUUUUAGGGCGAAGAGGGCCGAUGAAUAAACGAAUGGCGUCCGUCUGUUGUUUCGUUAUGUAGGUUUCUGUUGUUCAAUUUUACAGAAUGUAGAUAUAGGUUGCUGUAGUUUUUGGCGUUUGAAGUGUAAUUAGCGCUUAAUGCCACCGCCUAUAGCUUUGUUCCAUUUUGUUACCUGCAUUGUUUAGUGUUCUUCUUGUGUUGUUCUUGCUGUGUGUGCUUUUGGAAGAACAAAAAGCGCUUUCAGAUGUGGCGGCCACAGAAGCAGUAUUUUCAAUUCUCAAUUAUUCAUUCGCUCCUCAA